AAAUUGAAGAGUUUGAUCAUGGCUCAGAUUGAACGCUGGCGGCAGGCCUAACACAUGCAAGUCGAGCGGUAACAGGAAGAAAGCUUGCUUUCUUUGCUGACGAGCGGCGGACGGGUGAGUAAUGCCUGGGAAAUUGCCCUGAUGUGGGGGAUAACCAUUGGAAACGAUGGCUAAUACCGCAUGAUGCCUACGGGCCAAAGAGGGGGACCUUCGGGCCUCUCGCGUCAGGAUAUGCCCAGGUGGGAUUAGCUAGUUGGUGAGGUAAUGGCUCACCAAGGCGACGAUCCCUAGCUGGUCUGAGAGGAUGAUCAGCCACACUGGAACUGAGACACGGUCCAGACUCCUACGGGAGGCAGCAGUGGGGAAUAUUGCACAAUGGGCGCAAGCCUGAUGCAGCCAUGCCGCGUGUAUGAAGAAGGCCUUCGGGUUGUAAAGUACUUUCAGUCGUGAGGAAGGGGGUAUCGUUAAUAGCGGUAUUCUUUGACGUUAGCGACAGAAGAAGCACCGGCUAACUCCGUGCCAGCAGCCGCGGUAAUACGGAGGGUGCGAGCGUUAAUCGGAAUUACUGGGCGUAAAGCGCAUGCAGGUGGUUUGUUAAGUCAGAUGUGAAAGCCCGGGGCUCAACCUCGGAGUUGCAUUUGAAACUGGCAGGCUAGAGUACUGUAGAGGGGGGUAGAAUUUCAGGUGUAGCGGUGAAAUGCGUAGAGAUCUGAAGGAAUACCGGUGGCGAAGGCGGCCCCCUGGACAGAUACUGACACUCAGAUGCGAAAGCGUGGGGAGCAAACAGGAUUAGAUACCCUGGUAGUCCACGCUGUAAACGAUGUCUACUUGGAGGUUGUGGCCUUGAGCCGUGGCUUUCGGAGCUAACGCGUUAAGUAGACCGCCUGGGGAGUACGGUCGCAAGAUUAAAACUCAAAUGAAUUGACGGGGGCCCGCACAAGCGGUGGAGCAUGUGGUUUAAUUCGAUGCAACGCGAAGAACCUUACCUACUCUUGACAUCUACAGGAUCCUGCGGAGACGCGGGAGUGCCUUCGGGAACUGUAAGACAGGUGCUGCAUGGCUGUCGUCAGCUCGUGUUGUGAAAUGUUGGGUUAAGUCCCGCAACGAGCGCAACCCUUAUCCUUGUUUGCCAGC
rnacentral:rRNA from 2 species